rnacentral:rRNA from 1 species
GUAUGUGCCUACAACAUAGAGUUAAUGCAUCGGAUCCCAUUAGAACUCCGCAAUUAAGCACGGUCAAGAUAGAGUAGUACUGGGAUGGGUGACUUCCUAGGAAGUCUUAGUAUUUUACAUGCC